rnacentral:ncRNA from 1 species
UAGGAACCGUGAGAUUAAGCCAUCGCGGCAGGUGCUCACGUUAAGCCCACUGACUUUCAUGUCCCUAUCUACUAUCUAGCGAAACCACAGCCAAGGGAACGGGCUUGGAAUAAUUAGCGGGGAAAGAAGACCCUUUUGAGCUUGACUCUAAUCUGGCAGUGUAAGGAGACAUAAGAGGUGUAGAAUAAGUGGGAGAUAUUAGACUUCGGUUUGGUAUCGACAAUGAAAUACCACUACUCUUAUUGUUUCCUUACUUACUUGAUUAAAUGGAACGUGUAUCAUUUCCUAGCCAUUAUACGGAUAUAAUUAUUAUGUCUUAUGGUAUUGGGUUUUGAUGCAAGCUUCUUGAUCAAAGUAUCACGAGUUUGUUAUAUAAUCGCAAACAAAUUCUUUAAUGAGAGAAUGCAUUUAUGUAUUAUUGAUUUAAAAAUUUGGUAUAACUCCAAUUACUCAGGUAUGAUCCAAUUCAAGGACAUUGCCAGGUAGGGAGUUUGACUGGGGCGGUACAUCUCUCAAAUAAUAACGGAGGUGUCCCAAGGCCAGCU